UAUUAAACAUAAUAUUUAAAUUGUGCACUGAAAUUGAAUUGGGUCUCUAGGCUUGCCCUCUCUGAUGCCAUUUGGCUUUGAUUUGAGGGCAUGGUUUCGUAGCAAAACA